UGAGCAACCUGCCUUUCAGUGGGGGAUAACGUCUGGAAACGGACGCUAAUACCGCAUAACAUCAUCUGGUGGCAUCACCGGGUGAUCAAAGGAGCAAUCCGCUGAUUUGAUGGGCUCGCGCCCGAUUAGAUAGUUGGUGAGGUAAUGGCUCACCAGUCUGCGAUCGGUAGCAGGACUGAGAGGUGAACGCCACACGUGGGACUGGACGACCGACGG
rnacentral:rRNA from 1 species